rnacentral:rRNA from 1 species
GAUGAACGCUGGCUGCGUGCCUAAUACAUGCAAGUCGAGCGAACAGAUAAGGAGCUUGCUCCUUUGACGUUAGCGGCGGACGGGUGAGUAACACGUGGAUAACCUACCUAUAAGACUGGGAUAACUUCGGGAAACCGGAGCUAAUACCGGAUAACAUAUUGAACCGCAUGGUUCAAUAGUGAAAGGCGGCUUUGCUGUCACUUAUAGAUGGAUCCGCGCCGUAUUAGCUAGUUGGUAAGGUAACGGCUUACCAAGGCAACGAUACGUAGCCGACCUGAGAGGGUGAUCGGCCACACUGGAACUGAGACACGGUCCAGACUCCUACGGGAGGCAGCAGUAGGGAAUCUUCCGCAAUGGGCGAAAGCCUGACGGAGCAACGCCGCGUGAGUGAUGAAGGUCUUCGGAUCGUAAAACUCUGUUAUCAGGGAAGAACAAAUGUGUAAGUAACUGUGCACAUCUUGACGGUACCUGAUCAGAAAGCCACGGCUAACUACGUG